CCUACGGGAGGCAGCAGUAGGGAAUAUUGCUCAAUGGGGGAAACCCUGAAGCAGCAACGCCGCGUGGAGGAUGAAGGCUUUCGGAUUGUAAACUCCUUUUGUUAGAGAAGAUAAUGACGGUAGCUAACGAAUAAGCACCGGCUAACUCCGUGCCAGCAGCCGCGGUAAUACGGAGGGUGCAAGCGUUACUCGGAACCACUGGGCGUAAAGAGCGCGUAGGCGGGAUAACAAGUCAGAUGUGAAAUCCUAUGGCUUAACCAUAGAACUGCAUUUGAAACUGUUAUUCUAGAGGAUGGGAGAGGUAGGUGGAAUUCUUGGUGUAGGGGUAAAAUCCGUAGAGAUCA
rnacentral:rRNA from 1 species